CCUACGGGUGGCAGCAGUGAGGAAUAUUGGUCAAUGGGCGGAAGCCUGAACCAGCCAAGCCGCGUGAGGGAAGACGGUCCUACGCAUUGUAAACUUCUUUUGUCAGGGAGCAAGAACCGCCUCGAGUGCUUCGCCGAGAGUACCUGAAGAAAAAGCAUCGGCUAACUCCGUGCCAGCAGCCGCGGUAAUACGGAGGAUGCGAGCGUUAUCCGGAUUUAUUGGGUUUAAAGGGUGCGCAGGCGGAAGCGGCAGGUCAGCGGGAAAAUUGCGGGGCUCAACCUCGCCGAGCCGUUGAAACUGGUCGUCUAGAGUGGGCGAGAGGUAUGCGGAAUGCGUGGUGUAGCGGUGAAAUGCAUAGAUAUUACGCAGAACUCCGAUUGCGAAGGCAGCAUACCGGCGGCCAACUGACGCUGAGGCACGAAAGCGUGGGUAUCGAACAGGAUUAGAUACCCUGGUAGUC
rnacentral:rRNA from 1 species